GGUACUCAAAGAACUUGUAUACGCGUUAUAUUCCUUAAAAGGAAAAAGGCAUCGUUAGGGGCUUGGCUAAAACAUUAUCAGAGUUUGCAACGGAAGGCGUAACUGAAAUAAUCAGUGUUUACAGCGGAAAGCAUAACUGUGAUACAUGUAUGAAGACAUGUAUCCUUUCUGAGCCUACUUUAAGUUCGACAAAAACUCCACUCAGCAACACUUCAUCGCCCAUCACAGCUCAACCUGCACAAUCAUAAACAUCGAAGGGCUAAGUACAAAAGUACUUAGUGGGCAGUUGCCAAGCAUAUAACAUAAUAUCAUUAACAAUUUACAAUAUCGCAUAAGAGGCAUGAGUUUCUUUCAAAUCCUUUGCUCAUUAAACAUUUCCAUAUUCAUAAACAACAUGAGCGCAUUCUUCAUCAUUAACAAUCAUCAACACGCAUCGUGUCGUGGAGAAGGCCUUCCCCAACGAACACGGGCAUCGCGCCGUGAAGGGGGCCUCCCUCAGCGGUCACGGCAUCGUACUAUUGAGGGAGGCCUCCCCCAAUAGACGCUGUAACACUGGCAUACUGGCAUACUGGCAUCGCGCCGCGAGAGAGGCCUCUCUCAGCGGACACGGGCAUCGCGUCGUGAGGAAGGCCCUCCUCAGCGGACACGGCAUCGUACUGUUGAGGGAGGCCUCCCCCAACAGACGCAAGCAUCAAUCACAGGCAUAAACUUAUCAGCGUAAAGCAUUCAAGCGUAAAUAAGCGUAAUCAAGCGUAAAUCAUUUAGCGUAAAGCAUAAUAAAGCAUACCAUACUUGAAGAUCCAAUUUGCAUUAUAAAGCAUAACACAUGCAUAACAUUUUAUUUACGCGUAAGAAAUUGCCCACCUGAUAGCAAAAUUUUGCUAAGGUAUUGUGACUCCUUGAAUAGUUCUUACUCUCGCGCUUGACCUUAAUCACGAGAAUAUAAAAUAAGACAUUGAUUCGAGGAAAAUUCUCAAUUAAUGAGAAAGCGUAAUUUAACUAUGCAUGAAUCUUGUAUGCAUGAACUAACAUUUUCGAACGAUAUUCGGGGCAUCCUACUAUUUAUCCUCGUUAAUAGAUUUAACUAACUUCCGUCCAACGCGGUCGAAUAGAGCUGUGAUUCUUCCUUUCCCAUCGGAAUAUUCUAAUUGUAAAAUAGAUCUCGCAUUUGUACUCGAUCGAAAAUAAAGAACUAACUCGGCUUUAAUCGAGGUGUGAUAACGUAAAAAUUAUCGGGCUUUUCAAAAUUUAAUAAAUAAUUGAAAACAUUUCUCUUGAGUUAAGAACACCAACAAUAUUCUUACUCGUCUUUCUUUAAUAAUUGGAUUUAUAAUUAAAACCAAUUAAAUACUUUUAUUGCAAGUAAAAAUGCAAUUUCAUGUCAUGCUUAGCAUAUAAUAAAUAAUUUACUUAAAAUAUGCACAUAAUAAUAAUACAAUAUUAUUAUGUAAAUCAUCUUUUGAGAAAAAAAAAUUAAUUAAACUAAAUAAAUAGUCUAAUUAAAUAAAUUAAUAAGUAUUCAUUUUUCUUUGAACUGCAGCCCAGUUAAAUAAUAAGGUAGCCUAUUUUUUUAAAAAAAAACAUAAGCCCAAUGUUUCAAUUUAAAUCAGGGCCCAAAGACUUUAAUAAAAUCGGCCCAAAGACUUUAAUAAAAUCGGCCCAUAGCCAAAGCCCAAUACCAUUUAAACACAAGCCCAAUCUUUUAAAAGAUAAAGGCACAAUUAAAAUAAAUGAAUAGGCCCAAAUUCCAUUUAAAUUAAUUCAAGCCCAAUAAAAAUAAUGAGAAGAGCCAAUUAAAUUAAAGACUGGCCCAUUUCGAAUUUAUUUGUGAAAGCCCAAGCAAUUAAAAUAAAAUCAAGCCCAGCUUAAAAUAAUUCGGCUCACAAUAAAAUAUCUCUAGCUCAUUCUUUAUAAAGUCGGCCCAACUGAAAAUGAAUAGGGAGGAGCCUAUGAAUUCAGUUCACUUAAAAGAAAUAAAUUCAGCUCAUUCUUUAAUAAACUCAGCCUAAAUAUCGGCCCAUCAAGAAAAUAAGAAGCAGCCCAAUUAAAUUAAUAAAAGAGGCCCAAAGUAAAUAAAUGCAAUGGCCCAAACCAAAUAAAAUGACAAGCCCAAAAAUUUAAAAGGAAAGAGCCCAAAUCAAGCCCAUCUCUUUUUCUUCUCUUCUCAAAUUCUCGGUCCUUCAUUUUUCUCUCUUCUCAAACUCGCCGCUGCCCUCUUUUUCUUCUCUUCUCAAAUUCUCUUUCCCUCUCCGGCGAAGCCGCGCCGGCCGAGCUUCUGCUGCUGUCUCUCUCUAAUCCCAACUCAAGGAGCCGCUCAUCACUCUUCCUCAAAGCUUACGCUCGGCAUCCUCAAAACUCUGAUCGGCUUCACCUUCUCCGGCUAAAUCUGGCAGGCUGCGCCUCCUCCGGGCGUUCAGCUGUCAUCUGCUUCGUUGGCUUCGACCGGCGACGAGUCUAACCCCGGCGCCGUUCUCUCUCCUCCCCGCAGAGCCCCAAAAUCGAGCCCUAAAAUCUGGAACACCGCUGCUACUCCUUCGUUCGGAAUCCGGCGAGCAUCGUCGGCUGGGAGCGGCGCCGUCCAACUCCGGUUCUCAAAUCCCCCUCCGACGUCGAGCCCUAACUCUUCCCUGAGGUUUCAAACUCCGACCUUCAUCUCAAAUCCGACCGCGGAACCCAGAUCGAGCUCUAACUUUCAAUUACCAGGUCACCGCUGCUCCGCGUCCCCGUCUGAAAUCGCCGCCGACUGCUGCUGCUUCGCCUGGAGUCGUCGCCGACUGGAGUUGCUGCUGCUCGUCCGGUGGUCAGCGGACGUCGUCUGGGAGCGCCGCCGCCGGUCUUCCACGGCUACCGCGUCGCCGUCCCCUUCACCUCUCGAUCCGACCUCAGCCGAGGCGGGUGCCGCCGCCGCUGCUGUCCAGAAUCGGCGAGGGUACUUCGCCGCUGCUUCUCCGGCGUUCGGCUCUUCCUUCUCUGUCCGUUGAGCUCCGUCAGGCAGCAGGAGAUGCCGCUGAAAUCUGUCAUCUGCUCAAGAACCAGCUCAAGCCUCUCUCUCUCUCUUGGUUCAGGCGAUGUCGCCUCUGCUCAGCUGACGACCUCCAUCUCCUCUUCAUCGGUCAGCGUUGACGUCAUCUGGUAUCCCUCCCCGAUUUAAUGAAAUCAGGUACAACAAAUACUACUCCUAUCUUUCCCCAAAAUACUAGGUUCGGUUUCACUAGAUCGUGAAGGAAAUUCUCAUUCUAUAGUCUAUGUUUUUCAUAAAAUGAGUUCAUAUAAUCUGUUGGUUUGCUAGUGAGUUCUAUGUCGAUAAUAUGGUCAUGCUUCUCCUCUCAUACUAUGCAUUUCUAAAACUGGGCAUAUGCUGCAUAUAGCCGGAACUUGAAUAAACUGAAAUAAUGAAUACCUUGCGAAUGUUUUGGGCUUGGUUGGCUGCUGUGAUGUUGAGUUAAAAGAACUGGAAUGACUGAACUGAAAGAUCAAACUUGUUUCUUUCAAUAACUGUAAGUUGUAAUUGGAAGGAGAUGAUGAAUCAAUACUAAUUUUUUUACCUUAAUGUUUCUGGCAGAGAGUGAAUGAGUGAUUUCUCUCACUUUUCGGUUGUAGUGCAUUGAAUGAAUUGAAACUUGAAAAC
rnacentral:lncRNA from 1 species